ACCACACCAAGAGCCUGUCUGAGAACGGAUCAGAGUACCACAGGGAGAGAGCCUGCCUGACAGCGAAGCCGGGGAAAAGGGAUUCACUGCUGAGGCAUGGAGAAGAACUGGGUCCAGGAGACCUGAUUCAGCUAAGUCUCAAGCUAAUACUACCUGUAGUUUUGCCAGUUACAUGAGUCAAGAGAAUGGAAGCUCCCAGAGAGCGGCUCCUGGUCGGCCUCCUUUCCUACCACCUGCCCAGGGCCUGGAAUUGAGUAGAUGGCUAACAGUUAAUGACUAAAUGAAACUUAGUGAAGGAGAAAGACAUGAAAACUGAUCGUUAUACAGGAGGCGACUGGCUACGUAGGAGGUGGGUGUGGAGAACCCGGACGACUUCCUGGAGGAGGCGGAAGAGGGCUCAGUAACCAUGAGAUUACCGAAAACUGGGAAAGUAAAUAUGGUUUGUAUUUUCCGCAAGACAGCUCUCCGGGCCUGCGCUGGGCAGUAGAUUCCCAGCUCGAGGGACCGAUCUCCAGGGGAAAGCAAGGCCCACCUGGGCCCAGGCCCGCCCAUCCCGCCCUCCUCGUAGGCACCGGCUUGGUCAGUCCUGGCCAACCAGCAAAAGAAGCUCCGCCUUCCGGGGCCGGAGGGCGGCCUGAGGCGCUCGCUGUCACCCGCCGGGGCCCAGCCCCGCCGCCUCCGCCGCCCGGGAAAAAGCCCACUCA
rnacentral:lncRNA from 10 species